CGUCACUAGUGGGCCCCGUAAACCGCUCUCGUAUCUCGUUUAUUUCUUUCUUCCCGUCAACGCCACACAUCUCCUUUCCUCCAAAUCAAACACAGAUCAGGCUGCUCCGGCGAGCGACCACCUCCACCACCCCCCGCGCUGCUCGACGAGCACAACCCCAUCCCUUGCCCCACGCUGCUCCGACGAGCGGCCGCCUCCAACUCCCCUUGUGCUGCUCCGACGAGCGUAAGGCCAUCACUGCCCCGCUCUAUUCUAGCGAGCAGCCGCCUCCACCUGCCCCCGCGCUGCUCCGACGUGCGCCGUCCUCCACCGGGUGAUGGGCCGGCGGUUACGUCUUGCAUGAGCAAACGAGAUGCUGGAAUCAGCCUCGGCGGGUGCUGCAAUCGGCAAUCUUUUUGCUACAACCGGUUUUUGUUUUUGCUGGAAACAGCAACAUUUUUUUGCUAGGAUCCACAUUUUUGGAAGUGCUUUUUUGCUACAACCAUUUCAAAUUUUUGCUACCAUCGUUUUGUUUUUUGCUACCACCAUCCUUUUUUUAUUUUUGGCACCCAUCUUUGAUUUUUUUUUUGUUGGAUCCAUCUUUCUACUAGAACCACUCCAUUUUUUGUUACCAGAGUCUUUGAUUUGUGCUACCACCGUCUCCGCUUUUGCUACUACCCCGUCUCUUGACUUUUUUUGCCGGAUGCAUCUUUUUUACCUUUGAACCACUCCAAAUUUGCUACCACUGUCUUUGUUUUUUGCUACCAGUGUAUUUGAGUUUUGCUACCAUCCUUUUUUUGUUUUUUUCUGCUGGAUACAUUUUUUGCUGGAACCAGCAAUUUUUUUGUUGGAACUGGUGUUUUUGUUAGCUACUACCCCAUCUACAAACAGCGACAUCGAUGAACUUUCACUGAAAGGCUGCAACUGGAGGCCGAUUUUGCUGGAACCGACAUCACAAUUUUGCUGCAUCGGUGUUAUUUUUUGCGACAACCGGUUAAUUGUUUUGCUACAUGGCGACGGCUCGGUGCAGCGAUGGUGUCCUGCCAAGAUCCAGCGAGGACCAAUGCUGCGGGGACCGCGAGCCGACGGUGCUUCGAAUCAGCGGCACGCGCGGCCAUGGCGGGCUGCGUGAGCGGGGCGGGUGCACCGGAGAUUCCUUAUUUUUUUGUUCUGGCAUGAUGUGCGAGACGAGGAAGAAAAAAAAGGCCCAGAUCCAACGGCAGAUGAAACUGCAAUCGUACGGGAGGAUUUCGAAGAGUAUGCCGAGAAGGCAAAGGCCUUGCCCGAGACCCAGAGCACCAGCAAUGAAGACAAGCUUAUCCUCUAUGGACUCUUCAAGCAUGCCACUGUUGGGGUUGCGAAUACAGCUCGGCCUGGUAUGUGCAACAUGAGGGAGAGGGCCAAAUGGGAUGCAUGGGAAGCUGUUAAAGACAAAUCUAAAGAAGAAGCCAUGAACGACUACAUUACCAAGGUGAAGCAGCUCCAGGAGGAGGCAGCUGCUGCAGGCGCCUGUUAAUUAUUUGGUGCAAUCAGCUAUUGUCAGCGACGAACCCUUUGUGCUAUCUUAUUAUGAUAGCUAUAUCAUUCUGUCCACCGCAGUUUACUAUCAUCUAUGAAGACUACUAAAUAUUUUCUACUCCCUUCGUC
rnacentral:rRNA from 1 species